CAUCAUGGGUGAAAACCAAAGUCUGUUAGAGGAAAAACUAGUGAGGGAAAGUUUGUUAGAAGUUUGCUAUAAUAUAGGUUGAGAAUAGCCACAUAAGCAAGCAAAUUGAGAGUAAAAGAGAGUCUAGGUAUUGGUGUUCAACUUGCAUUUCUUUGUAAUUCCUUUUGAAUUCAAUAAAAUUCUCUAUUUUGCUCUUCUUCUAAUUGGGAACUUAACAACUGGUACCAGAGCAACCAAUUCUGAUGGCCCAAAGGAAGAUAGAAAUCAAAGUAGAAGCAAUGGAGAAGAAGCUGAAGGAAUUGAAAAUAGAACUUCAAUGCUUACCUAGAGUAGAAAGAGUAGUGGAGCAUUAAUCCAGAGUAUGGCCAAGAUGACACGAUCACCAGAGUCAAUUCAAAAAGAUGUGGCGUCACUUAUUAAUCCAAAGGUAGCCACAAAUCGGGUACUCGAAGGGGAUAGAUCCAGAAACGUUAUGGAAAGGAAGCUACUUCUGAGCAUCAACUAGGAACCCUUGGUGGAUCAACGAGCACAAAACAAAGGAAAAUGGCUAGAAGAAAUAGGAGAGACCAAUACUGGAGGAAUUACAGUCACCUCUAUCGGAAUAGAGGUGGUGAUGAUUGCCGACGUGUUUGGAAACACGAGAUGCUGAAACUCUUAGUUUCCCAACUGUAGGCUUCUGAACAAGGAUUGCUAAUCAAGUCGGAGAAGAUGAUGGUGUUGACUAACAAAAGGGGGGAGAAAAAGAUGUUAGUGGGCUGAUAAUGAUGCCUAAAUUUCAAUCGGAAAACCUGUGGGCUUGUCCUUGGAGAGGAUCCAAUCAAUAGAAGGCAAAGGUCUAGUAAUUAGAGUUGAACACUUAUAUAUAUAUAUAUAUAUGUGUGUGUGUGUGUGUGUGUGUGUGUGUGGGGCUUGAUUUUGGAGACGACCCAAUUUGUAAAAGGGAGCUUGCUGCUUAAACAUGUCCCAGGUGAAGCAAAGCCAAUUCAAUAAAUAGAUCUGAUUUCUUAUUGCAAUCAAACUACAUCGAUUUUCUUUUCAAUUUGCAAAACAUCGACUCUCUCUUCAAUCCCUAAAUUGGUUUUCAACCCAUCUUCAGAAAAAAAAAUUGGGUAUUCUGUAGAUUGGGACAAAUGGUUUCGAGUUGCCUUGGAUAAUAUAAUCGUAAUAUUUGCCAAUUAAAUUCUCUCUUUGCCAUUAAAUGUGGUGGUCGACAAGUUCAUUAUUCAGACAAGAUCGUGUAUCAUCAAUUUGGUAUCAAUUUGAACCCUAAAAAAAACAUGUAACGACUUGAGGUUGAGAGGAAGUCACAGGUUGAUAUAAUAGCUCGGCGCUGGUUAUACACUGGAGUUCAUGAGUGGCACGAGCUGAUUCACUACCUGAUAGAGAUGAAAUGUCUUUCUGGACGGCCUUUUUGUGAUCAUUUAUACAAUUCUGAAUACAUUUUCUGGGAGCUGGGUUAUAUGGAAAGUUCUUCAAGAAUGAGGAAUGUUUUGCAAAGGAACUGCCAAAGUUCAGAUCACUUUGGUGCUGCUGGAGAGCAUGAAGAUAAUGUAGUGCAGAAGCUUGAGAAUGAUAAAGUCAUAAGUCCACCCAAAGCUUCUAUCUUAGCAGCAAAAGCUAUCUCGUUUGAGGUAGGACAUGCAUAAGAUGAGCAUGAAAAUGAUAUCCAAUUGGAGGGUAGCUCGAAUGGCAUAGAACAACUUGGUGAAUUUCAGAUAAGAUCAUCUGGAUCCACUCCAUUGCAAACGACAAUAGAGUCUAGAGAUGAGUGACUAAUGACAUAGUCUUGCUAUCAUAGACGCGUCGAGGGUGUGCAAGUUGAGCGACCGCAUAGGGCCUCAGAAUUGUAGGGGCACCAAAAAUUGUUUUUGUUAUAGUUGUAUAUUUAUUUAUAAUUAAAUAUUUACGUCGAAUUUUUUCAGUUUUUAGUAGCUAUGAUCAUAUGGUAUAAACACUUGCAAUCUAAUGAUAUACUUAUUCAAGUUGUUAUUGAGAAAAUGAAAGGGCUAAUUGCUUCUUC
rnacentral:lncRNA from 1 species